rnacentral:lncRNA from 1 species
CUUCUAUAUAAACAUGAGUUUUAGUUUAAAAAGAUGCAAUUAAAUCACCUCUAUUAAAUACAUACAUUUUUAUGUAUGUGGAAAAAUAAGUUUGCAUUUAUCUCAAGAAUAAGUUUCAUAGCAAACAAUUACAGAGUUUAUUCAAUAAGGAAUAUUAAAAUAAUCCCAGUUAGCAAAUAACUUCAACCAUACACAUUGUAAUUAAUCACGUACAUAUUCCCAAAUCCCCAGAAAUAGGAUAUUUAUAGAACAUCUUCUUAAAGCAUGUCUUGGAAAACCAACCAAAACAAUUGAUAAAUUAACUAAAGAGGCAGGCGCAGUGCCACUGAGCUAAAUCCCUGGCCCUUAGAGAUUGUAUAUCCAAAAUAUACAACCAUGUUUGACCUGUACAUAAAAAUUGAAGGAAAUUAAAGUUUCAAAACUUCUGGAAUAUAAUGUUAGCACUUAAGCCAAAAUACUUACCUGCAAAAGAAGAAUAGUUUGAGGUAUUUCCAAUGCUGAAGUAAGUUUCUGAAUGUUAAAUACCACAAGAACGAAAAGACUUCUCUGGGCAUUGACCUCUAGUCUACAGAGGAGGCAGAGCAUGAAGGUCUGCCAGGGCAUUUGCCCGUCUCACCUAUAUUCUUUCUCCCUUAUGAAGCAUAAGCUUCAAGGGAAAAGACCACAUGGAAAAACAUUUCAAGUGAGCUAGGGUUCCCAAGUGCAAUGUUUUAACAAGUGAAAGGAAGAAAUUGUAAUUCUCCUGUCCAGGUCAUGCUUGCCCUCUUUAGACAUGAGCAUUACCUUCCAUGCCUCACAGAUAAGCAUACCCUUUGGAACCAAAGCUGAGCUUGAUCAAACACUAGAAUGGACAAACUGAAUACAUGAACCACCUAAACAAAGAUGGUACUUUAAGCUUUUACACAUGACACAUGAAAAUGAUCAAAUAUUUUGUUUACAUUUAGUCUUUCUUCAUCUUUCUGUGACCCUGAAUCUGAAAGGUUAGCAAGUGAUUACAUUUCUAACCCUUCUUCAUGUAAUCAGCACACACGUACAGCAUUAUAUGUCAAUAUAAUAUCAACACAGCAUCAAUAUUUAAGCAGUAGAUAAAUUUCACAUGAAAGAAGCUCUAUGUAUCAUAUGGACUGGCCUAAAAGAAGCAAACAUAAAAAUGCAAGUUUAACAGUUACAGUGUUGAUAUGAAUCAAUAUACCUAAUAUUUAUAUCCAUCAUAUAUUUUAUAAGUCAUCCAUAGCAAAGAAGCAAAGGACAAAGUCUGUUCUUUUUUUUUUUUUUUUUUUGGUACCAGGGAUCAAACUC